rnacentral:lncRNA from 1 species
CUUGCUCAAAUUUAGGUUGGGAUGAACUUGCUUCAUGGACCUCAUGUUGACCCUUUGGGUUAGAUUGAGGUUGGGCUGGAAAUGUCCCUCUUUCCCUAACAUUAAGUUGAGCCUCAAUUCUACCUACAGAAUUUUUAAGUUCUUGGAGUGAUUGCAUUGUAUUCUGAUUUAUUUGAGUCUACCCUUGCAUGAAGGUUUGCAAAGU